CUAUGCUCACUUCUCAGCUAUUAUAAACUUUUUCACUGCAUUUAUAUAGCUUUUGUACAAUAUUUGUAGUCUGAAAUGUUCAGGACAGUGUUGAGUUUAAAUGCGUUAGAUUUUAUGUCUUAGUCAUUCCCGGCACUCUCAGGAUUCCUUUAGAACUGGUAUGAAUGAUGGCAUCUGCAGGGCUUGAUAUAUUCUUUCGUAUAUUUAAUUGGCUAUUAACAUACAAACAAGUAGGAUAAGAUAUGAAGCCAACCCAGCUAACAUCAUUUUUCCGUCUCUUUUGGUCCAGAUACCAAUGAGUGUUCGAGCAACCCCUGUAUAAAUGGAGGGAACUGCAUGGACUUUGUCAAUGGAUACACAUGUUCAUGUCUAGAUGGAUUCAUCGGAACUCACUGUGAAUUUGAUAUCAAUGAGUGUUCGAGCAACCCCUGUAUGAAUGGAGGGAACUGCAUGGACUUGGUCGAUGGAUACACAUGUUCAUGUCCAGAUGGAUUCAUCGGAACUCACUGUGAAUUUGAUAUCAAUGAGUGUUCGAGCAACCCCUGUAUGAAUGGAGGGAACUGCAAGGACUUGGUCAAUGGAUACACAUGUUCAUGCCCAGAUGGAUUCAUCGGAACUCACUGUGAAUUUGGUAACAUAUCAUUUUCUAUACACGGCGAACUUUCACUUCCGGGGUAAC